CAGCCGCCGCGGUAAUACGUAGGGUGCGAGCGUUAAUCGGAUUUACUGGGCGUAAAGCGUGCGCAGGCGGCCCGUUAAGACAGGUGUGAAAUCCCUGGGCUCAACCUAGGAAUUGCGCUUGUGACUGGCGGGCUCGAGUACGGUAGAGGGGGGUGGAAUUCCUGGUGUAGCAGUGAAAUGCGUAGAGAUCAGGAGGAACACCGAUGGCGAAGGCAGCCCCCUGGGCCGGUACUGACGCUCAUGCACGAAAGCGUGGGGCGCAAACAGGAUUAGAUACCCUGGUAGUCCACGCCGUAAACGAUGGGUACUAGCCGUUUGGUGCGCGAUAGCGCUGAGUGGCGAAGCUAACGCGUGAAGUACCCCGCCUGGGGAGUACGGCCGCAAGGUUGAAACUUAAAGGAAUUGGCGGG
rnacentral:rRNA from 1 species